rnacentral:tRNA from 1 species
CGGGGCGUGGCGGAACAGGCAGACGCGCCAGCCUCAGAAGCUGGUGGGCGCAAACCCGUGCGGGUUCGAAUCCCGCCGCCCCGACCA